UCGUUACUCAACAAAAGAGUUUUGAAUUAAAACAAAAGAGAUACGUACACAAUAUUUUUGAAAAUCUUACAAUACCACUCAGUAGUGGUUCUCAAAAAUAUAAAGUUUUUGUCCUGUACAUAUUCAGAACAAGCUAUGCUAACUAUAAAUAGACUCCAAUGCUGAGUACAAAAAUAUUAAUUCACAACAAUUCUUUGCACAAGAGUUUCUCUUUUUGACUCCAAUUUUUGCAUAUCAACCUGAAAUAAAACCAAACAAUAAAAGCAACAAUUAGAAGUUAAAAAUAUAAGGUAACAAAAACCAGUUAGCAAGCCACUUCUAUAGAGUUAUACGGCAUAUGAUAUCACAUGAAAAGUUAGAAUCCGUGCAGCUUAAAAACAUUCCAUCAUACAAACAAAAAUGAAGAAUAGACUUACUUAUUACAAAGAAAAAUAAAACAAUAAGAAACUUCAAAUCUUCGAAUACGAGCCACAAUGUAAAUAUGUACCAUAAAGUAAGAAAAUGCAAAAGGUGCUUGAACACAUCUAUAUCUGUUUAGUUAACAUACAGAAUGAGAAGUUCUCUCUGUCCUUUUCCUCUUCCUAAUCUCUUCUAACUAAGCAUGACAUUUCGGUUUUAGGAUUAAAUGAUGUUUGCAUAAUCAUUUGGAUAGACUAAUAUCCUUUUCGCAAGUAAACCACAAGAAUUUUCUUUAUCUCAAUGAUAUUGUGAAGAGUAUAACCUUUGACGAGCUAGCAGACCUUGAGUAUGCUCCUAACACAAUUUAUUUUCAACACCUGCAUGGUAAUCUUGUUAGUAUUACAUUUUAGGUCUAACAACCAAGCAAGCGUCUAGAGGUAUUGAUAGGUAAUACAAACUAGAUAUUUACUUAUUUCAAUUGAAGGAGAUGAUCCUCUUGAGUGACCUACAGAUGAGAACCACAAUCAACUAGAUUCAGAGGCCAUAUUUGGUUAAUGACUAUGCUAUAGAGGUCAUUUUUCUCCUAUAAAUACAUAGUAAUAUCCAUAUUCUUACUCAUGAAAAGCAGAAUGUCAUCUCCUGUGAGGAAUCUAACAUUAUAAGUCGAUGAGGUUAGUUAUUUGGUGCUGCAAUUUCAAGUUUUUCUUCCUCUGGUGAACUGAUCUUGAGUAUUUAUGUGUCAAGAAAAUAUAAUCUUCCUUGUUAUUCUGCUAAAGUUUUGGCAUUAUAGGUAUAAAUAAGUUAUUCUAUCAUACUCAAUUAAAUGCAAAAGAGUGAUAUUUCCUGUAAGGCGUAGUUCAGUUUCUGACUUAUCCAAGUAAGAUUUCUGUAAUUUGGACCUGCAGGUACCUUUCUACACUCAUCCUACCACUAUUAGCACCUAUAAACCUAAUCAACUAAUUAAAUAAUUUACAUGGACUAAGAAAGAGCGUAACAAGGAUGAACUAUAACAACAUGACAGUAAAACAAUCAUAUUAAAGAUGUAAGAAUAGACAAAAUCCAAUAAAAGAAAGAAUCAACCACUGAAAUAAAAUAAAAAGUGCGAAUACACAAUGACAUUAAAAGGAAAAAGGUGUAGAUACUAAAGCUUUAUCCCCAGAAUGAUUCAAUUUCAUCACUCCACAAUAGUCAUUAUCUUGAACAUAAACAGCGAACUGUUAAAUGCAUAAAUAACCCUAUCUACCACUUUUCAAAAACAACAAACUUCAGUACAUCAUAAUAAAUGAAAGGGAAACCAUUUUAAAGGCAGGAAAUACAAUCCAGUGAACAUAAUAGAAUGAAAAUCACAAAAAAAAAUACUUAACGCACCCUAAUAACCUCGAUCAAAAAUCUGAGAAGUAUCAGUAGUAUCUGUCAUGUUUAGUGUUUUAGAACAAUCUAAGACCAACCUGGUUGCUUCCCCUUUCAAUUUUCGGUGUCACACUGAGAUUUGCUUAUCGCUAAUCGAGUGCGACUUUGAACUUCGAGAAUGUAAUUUGCAAUCCGAUCAAUUUUGUGAAUAUGAGAUGACACUAUCAAUUAUUUGUGUAUGAGGAAAGGGGAAGAUUGGAGGCACGGUUUUAAGAGGAAAGAUUGGGGGUAGG
rnacentral:lncRNA from 1 species